GGUGACUAAAUUUGUCCAGAUGCUGCCGUUCAAAUAAUCACAGUGAUUGCCGACAUAAUGGUUACAUUCCUGAGAACUGAGAGACUGAGGUAUGGAGAGGUUAGGUAAUUGUUCAAGAACACCAAGCCAGUAAGGGUGCCACUGGACCUAAGAUGAGGCAACCUGGCCCUGAGACCAGACCCAUGGAGAAGCAUGUGGACGCUGACAACAUCAUAAGUUAUAAGGAGCAAAAGAAUAGCAGCCUCAGCCCUGAAUUCUGCUGACUCCAAGUUCCAGAUCCAUGCCUUUUAUUCAACUCAGAGAUCAUCUAUCAACUCAUGCCACGUAAAGUGCUGUUGCUGGAGCAGGCAUGGAGAAGCUGAGAAGAUGCUGUUUCCAGGUUCUCAUUGCACCAUCCCAGUGGACCUGUCUGUCCUCCGGUAGCAUGAGGAGUUUAAACUGGGAGCAAGUACCUUGUCUUCUGUACUACUCUGGACCGGGAGUUCCCCACUGAGCUUGGACUCCUGGAGAAUAGAGCCUCUUCUUACUUAGCUUCAUGAUUAUUCGACACAGUCCUGGGUAUAGGGUAAGUGGUCACCAAAUGUUUGUUGAAGGCUGUGAGUGAAUGUAUCAGCAGAGAAGCAAUUGUACUGGUUCUAUGAUUGUGAUCACUAGGACAGCGAGUGGUCAAUUCUGUAGAGAUUCGCUUCUUCCUUAGAAUUGGCUUCUGAAGCUUCUGUUCUCAGGCACUGAUGAUAAGACUGUCUAGAAGAAUCCUCCUUGAGCAUCAAAUCAACCCAUCAAAGGGGAUCAUGUGGCUGUCUUCGGUUGAAUUCUCUGCUGCAUCUUAUAUGGGGACAAAUAAUGCUCUUUUGCUGGGGAUGCGGUUUGAAAGGUCCUUCUCUGCCUCAGCAAUCUCAGGGAGCAUUGGCCAUCCCCAGAAUCUCUGGCAGAUAUACAGACGUCUUGUUCUGAAUGCAAACAAAUUCCUGUAACCCCUGGGGAAAAACUUUAUAGGCAAGGUCAGAACAAGUCAUGCCUCUAGUAGAAACUGUCAAGAUGCUGUGAUUAGAGUGAUAAAGCCCUUGACACUCUGCGCACACCCAAGAAUGCCUCCCCUAUGCCGUAGAACCUGCAAUUCUCAUCACUUCUCAAAGACGAGCAGUCUAAGGAAGAUGACGCAUUUGCUAGUUUAUACAGUAGCAGGGAUUAAUUUAGU